rnacentral:rRNA from 1 species
GACGAACGCUGGCGGCGUGCCUAAUACAUGCAAGUAGGACGCAGUUGCGAACGGGUGAGUCACGCGUAGGUAACUACCUAUUAGAGGGGGAUAACUAUUGGAAACGAUAGUUAAUACCGCAUACUAGUAGAUGGACCUGCGUUGUAUUAGCUAGUAGGUAGGGUAAUGGCCGACCUAGGCAACGAUACAUAGGCGACCUUAGAGGGGGAUCGGCCAGACUGGGCGUGAGACACGGCCCAGACGCCUACGGGAGGCAGCAGUAGGGAAUCGUCGGCAAUGGGUGGGAACCUGACCGAGCAACGCCGCGUGAUGGAAGAAGGUUUUCGGAUCGUAAAGCGCUGUUGUUAAGGAGUCGGUACUUAACCAGAAAGGGACGGCUAACUACGUGCCAGCAGCCGCGGUAAUAC